rnacentral:rRNA from 1 species
AUACGUAGGGGGCGAGCGUUGUCCGGAAUGAUUGGGCGUAAAGGGCGCGUAGGCGGCCCGGUAAGUCUGGAGUGAAAGUCCUGUUUUUAAGAUGGGAAUUGCUUUGGAUACUGUCGGGCUUGAGUGCAGGAGAGGCAAGUGGAAUUCCCAGUGUAGCGGUGAAAUGCGUAGAGAUUGGGAGGAACACCAGUGGCGAAGGCGACUUACUGGACUGUAACUGACGCUGAGGCGCGAAAGUGUGGGGAGCAAACAGGAUUAGAUACCCUGGUAGUCCACACUGUAAACGAUGAAUGCUAGGUGUAGGGGGUAUCGACCCCUUCUGUGCCGCAGUCAACACAAUAAGCAUUCCGCCUGGGGAGUACGGCCGCAAGGUUGAAACUCAAAGGAAUUGACGGGG